CAGUCGCCGUGGUAAUACGGAGGGAGCUAGCGUUGUUCGGAAUUACUGGGCGUAAAGCGCGCGUAGGCGGUUACUCAAGUCAGAGGUGAAAGCCCGGGGCUCAACCCCGGAACUGCCUUUGAAACUAGGUGACUAGAAUCUUGGAGAGGUCAGUGGAAUUCCGAGUGUAGAGGUGAAAUUCGUAGAUAUUCGGAAGAACACCAGUGGCGAAGGCGACUGACUGGACAAGUAUUGACGCUGAGGUGCGAAAGCGUGGGGAGCAAACAGGAUUAGAUACCCCAGUAGUCCCUGUCUCUUAUAC
rnacentral:rRNA from 1 species